UGCUUUCACCUUCUUCGUACA
rnacentral:piRNA from 1 species